UACGUAGGGUGCAAGCGUUGUCCGGAAUUAUUGGGCGUAAAGAGCUCGUAGGCGGUCUGUCGCGUCGGCUGUGAAAAACCCGGAGCUCAACUCCGGGCCUGCAGUCGAUACGGGCAGACUGGAGUUCGGCAGGGGAGACUGGAAUUCCUGGUGUAGCGGUGAAAUGCGCAGAUAUCAGGAGGAACACCGGUGGCGAAGGCGGGUCUCUGGGCCGAUACUGACGCUGAGGAGCGAAAGCGUGGGGAGCGAACAGG
rnacentral:rRNA from 1 species